AAUAAACACCGUUCCUAAUUUUCAGCUAGAUGAAAACAUAAUUGGCUUCAAGUCAGAUCUCUGGCCGUUGGUUCUAUUUCUGGUGCGAAUCUCGUCGCUCUCUCUUUGGCGCAUCGCGUCGUUCUCUCGUCCGCACCGCUUCUCGCUCUCUCGUCGUUCAGUCUGGUUUUUAUUUUGGUCCGUUUUUUUUUGGUUUUAUCUGUUUGAAUUUCAUUUGCCUUUCCCCUUUUCCUCUCUUCGGUUCUCAGGGGAGGAGGAGAGAUUCUGAGAGUAGGGCGUGGGUGGUGGUCUGUGAGCACGGCGGAGGGCUUGGCUCUGCCGUCGGGGAGAUUGAAUCGGCGAAGUUUUACCAGAGCGAGGUGCUUGGUCGAGUCCGCCCAUUCCUCAUAUCAUCGGAAGUAUGGGUCUGCAAGGUGACGGAGGACCUGGCUUGCUCAGUGUGGCGAAUGUUCCAGCGAGCGACCAUGGUUUCGAUUUUCGACGUCGGGGUAGGAGCCGUCGUCGCCGGUAGGACGGGCAUUGUGUUGAUCCUCAUUGUGGAGAUGUUUCUCACUUCGGUUUAUCAAAUCCAUUAUGAAAUAAGCUCAACUUCUGAUGAUUUAGUAGUUACUACUCUGCCUUUUCUUGCAUUUUUACGUAAAUUAUUUGAUGAAUUUAAAAAUGUAGCAUAUGAAUCUAUGUUACUAUUUUAUUUUUAGUUUGAAACUUUACCUCGUCUAGCUAGGUGUUGUUAAACAUGCCUACAUCCCAUGGAUUUUCAUCUUCCUCUCUGACCAAUGUAGCGGUUGAUUCUAUUCUCUUCAUUUAUUCAGAGAUAAAUAUAUCAUUUAUAACAUUAUUACAUUUUUCAUCUAUCUAUCAUUCUCAUUUAAUUAGAUAUUUUUGGAAUACCUGACCAUGACGCUGUUGAUACACUUCAGGAUCGUGUAUAUCACCAAGUAGCAGCCAUGUGUAAGUGAAUCCUUCCUGCAAAAUCAAGCAGAGCAUUGUCAUUAAUUGUAGAAAUUUGAAUUGAUGUUUCACAUCUGACUAUGUGUGUACCUGGGUGAAAAAUUUGUCCUAUAUACCAGGGGAUGUUUCGAAACUUUGAGAUUGUGUUCUUGAUAGAUUCUGCAUCAAAAAGUUUUCUGGCUUAAACAUUGGAAUAUAUACAUAGUCUAUGUAUAUUCUGUGAACAAUAAAUGUUUUUGCAAUAAAGUAAAAGAUGGUUACUCUGCAAUCACAAUCUAAUUCUGCAUGUCAAGUUUUUGGAGAAGCAUAACAUGUUUCAUGGCGUCAUUCUCUUUUUAGGUUCAUUCUCUCAUUCUUAGUUCCCUUUUCAGAUAUUUGUUUCAUACUUCAGAUAUUUCUCAGUCCUCUAUCUCAGUUCCCUCUUCAGAUCUUUGUUUAGUUUUUAUUCCUCAUUCUUCAUUUUUCAUUUGUCUCUUCUCCUUUAUCUCUUAUUUACUCAUUCUGCUCAGUCUCUCCUUCUUCAGAUAUCUUUUAGUUUUUAGUCAUCAUUCUUCAAUUUUCAUUUGUCUCUUAUUUACUCAUUCUAUUCAUUGCCUUGUGCUUGUAGUUCUUCAUUUUUUCUUCCGUUUUUUCUCAGUAAAUUCAUUUUCUCUUUAGUUUUUUCUCAGUAAAUUCACUUUUAGUCAUCAUUAUUCAAUUUUCAUUUCUUUGUGCUCCUUUAUAUCUUAUUUACUCAUUCUCCUCAGUCCCUUGUUCAAUACCUUUUAGGGUUUAGGUUCAUUUUAUCAUUCUAUGUAUUGUCUUUAGUCAUUUUUCUUUGAUCCGUCUCAGUUUUUUUCAGUUUCUUCUCAGCUAAUUCAUCAUUCUCACUCAUUUUUUCUUCAAUUUUUAUCAGCUUUAAAAUUUAUGCUACACUUUCCUAGUCCUUCGUCAUUUUUUAUUUUUUGGCACUAGCAUGUAGGUAAGACAUAUCUGCAUCUUAGUUUUCUUGUUCUCAUUUUCUUCAUGUAUCUCAUUAUCUAUUUGUAACUAUUCAGGUAUACUUGUGUUUUGAUGAUUUUCGCCUCUGUUCCGAAUGCUUAUUUGUAUUCAGUUAUCAUUCCUUCGUUGAAUUGUUGUGUUGCUUGCUUAUUCUUCAUAUUCUUUCAUCCCUGGUGGGUCAGUAGGUACCUUAGUUUUUGUUUGUUGCUAUGUUUGGCUGGCGACGGUUCUCUUGUGGUCAUUUAUAUUUUUUCAUUUUCCGGUAGUGUCUGAGAGAUUUUCAUAUGUUGAUGCAUUACUAUAGACCAGCUGCCAUUGGCCAACGGUUGUGAGCACAACGCAUCAUAAGUGUGGCAGCUUAGCUUACUCAUUCCAAAAGUUAACAAUUUUUGUUUGCACCACUACAGACUUGCACAUGGACUUCUGGUGCAGGUUAAGGGAUGUGUAUUUAGCAGUCUUAGUUUAGAUCAUGUGCUACUGCAGCUUUUAUGUACUUGAUGAUCCUGCGGGUAGGGCACUAGGCUGUAAGGAGCUAUUCCUUUUCUCUAUUUUUCAGGAGCUAUUUGUUUCAUAGGUUUUGUAUUUUUUUAGUCUGAUCAUGAUCAUGUGGCAAACACAACUAGUGAAACAUAAACAUGGCGGCCUUUUUAAUGUGUUCCAGCAAGUAAAGUAGUUCAUACUAGCAUACAUUGUAGUUUCAGACCAUGACCUCUUAGUGUUAUUUAUCUGAUGACAUAGCCUAUUAUUUUUGGACUUUAUACUCAACCUGAUGGUGUACAUAUAUGAGAAAAAAGCAUGCUUGCCCUUAGGGAUGCCACUAUGCACAGAUAGAUUUGGUGGUUUUCACUACUUGCUAAGAACAUUUUGCGUUUUCCUUCGCAGAUCAACACAUUGCUUGUGGGAUAGAUACAUGAUCCAUCAAGAAACAAGGUUCUGAAAAGUAGUAAGACGAGAGAGGGGAGAAGUGAUGACUUGCAUGUCCUGAGAGUGUAUGAGAGGAGAAGAGAGAUGGAUCACGUGCAGGCAGCUGGCAGACCAGGCCAACUAUGGGAGACCCUGUUACAUGUUUCCUAUCGAAGUUACGGCAUGCAAGGCUAGUGUACACAACGGGCUUUUUAUUGAUUCAAUCCAUAUGUUUUGCUAGCUAAUGAAUGCCCAGUUCUGCUGGUGUAUGGAAAAAACUAGAAAAAACCGGACUGAACUGAUUCAA